rnacentral:lncRNA from 1 species
UUUAAGUAUUACACACACACACACACACAUAAUAUAUGGACACAAAAGAGAGGAUAAGAUUCGCAUGUGAUCAAACCUUAACAUCUUCUUGAAGCUUCUGAUCAUCAUGUAAGUACUUAAGAAUCCAAGUUAGGCAACUAGCUGUCGUGUCUUGAGCGGCGAAAAGGACUCCGAUAAUGUUGUCCGCACUCUGUUCUUGGGUUAGCACACGACCCUUAUCGUCCUUAUAGUUGAGUAGAUGACCAAGAAAGUCCGUUUUCAAAAUGCUUUUCUCUCUUCUUUCACGUAUAAUCUCGCUUACUAUUGUCUUUAGCCGCUUCCUCGCCUUUUUAUAACAAGUUUUAGUCAGUUGGGAAGAGUUUGCUUAAUGUCCUGAUUGAUUUAUUUCAGAUAUGAGAUCAUACCUUGAGAGCUUUGUGGUAAGAUGUUCCGGGAAGAUUCAUGGGGAAAGAGCUGUAGCCUUUUUCCACAAUAUUGUAAUUAUGUUUCAACAUCUCCCUGUAAGAACACUCCAAAUGGCCAAAUAUGGCUAGAAUACCA